UUGAUUUCAUACCAAAGUCAUACUUAACAUUCCACUUAUACUGUCAAACCUCUGAGAAAUAUUACGGAAAACAACAAGGCGCCAAAAUAUAACAAACUAUCUAAAGUGACCAGCUGCUCUCAUUGAGAAGAACCAGUAGCCUGGCAGAAUAAAAAAGUUCAUACCUGGAUCAUCCAAAGCCUCCAGCCUUGUUCCUCCAGAGGAAUCCAACAGUUUUACCUACAGGCUCAGAGAGAGACUCAAACAAGAACGAUUUGGAGGAAUACACAACUUCAGGUUGCUUUGGACCUCUGCAUCCUAAAGGUCUCCUACAGAUUCCUUGAUUUUGGGGCUCGGGGUCGGGCCCAGGGGGAGCCGCCACCAUUGCGUCCAACGAGUGGAGUGCCAACGGUAGCCCUGAAGAUGGGCUGGACGGGGAGAACGAUGACAAGGCCAUUGACGGGGACGCCGAGGGCGUGUGGAGCCCGGACAUCGAGCAGAGCUUCCAGGAGGCCCUCGCCAUAUACCCCCCCUGCGGCAGGAGGAAAAUCAUCCUGUCAGAUGAGGGAAAGAUG